GGAUAUGGCUAAGUGGUAGAGUCUUUGCCUAGCAUGCGUCAGGCCCUGGGUUCAAUCCCCAGUAUAACCA
rnacentral:tRNA from 1 species